rnacentral:rRNA from 1 species
CUUGAGCUUUAUAAGAGGUCCAGCCUGCCCAGUGACUCUGUUCAACGGCCGCGGUAUCCUAACCGUGCGAAGGUAGCGUAAUCACUUGUUCUUUAAAUGCGGACUAGUAUGAAUGGCACUACGAGGGUUAUACUGUCUCCUUUUUUUAAUCAGUGAAACUAAUUUUCCCGUGAAGAAGCGGGGAUAUAACUAUAAGACGAGAAGACCCUAUGGAGCUUUAAACAACCCAGCAAUUACUUCUAAAAUUAUAAAUUUCAGAAUAUCCACUUUUUAAGUUAUAUGUCUGCAAGUUUUUGGUUGGGGUGACCAUGGAGUAUAACAUAACCUCCAUGUUGAAUGAAUUCCCUUCUAAGCUAAAAAUUACCAAUUGAAGCAUCAACAUACUGACAUCUAUUGACCCA